rnacentral:lncRNA from 1 species
CAGAAGCUUUGAGCAGGGCAGGCACUCUCCAGAGUGCGUUUCAGACCGCUGCCCGCCUGUGGGAACUGGGCUGCCUCACAGGCCGGGCUCUGCAGGCGCUCAGUGGGGAACUAGACCGGAAACCUUUAGGGGGUGGCUCUCUGCAUCCUCUGGGACCCAGAUGGGAAGCGGUGGCUUCCUCUGGUGUCCUUAACGAAGGGACCGUUCGACCCCAAACAUUCCUUGCUGAGAGCUUCAGGAGGUCCCGAAGUUCCUCCGAGGUGGACGUCCCCAGUGGUCCUCUCACGAGGUCGCCUGAU